GUGGGGAGAGGUGGGGCUAGGCGGGCUGGGCCGUACGAGGCGAGGCUGGGCACGGCAACGCUAGGCGAGGCGGGGCGAGGUGAGGCAGGGCAACACUAGGCGUGGCAGGGUGAGGCGGGGCGAGGCGGGGCAAGACAGGGCCAGGCAGGGCCAGGUGGGGUGAGGAGAGGUGAGGUGGGGCAAGGCGAGGCGUGGCAGGUGAGGUGGGGUGGGGCGGGCGAGGGGAAGCGAGGCAGGGCGAGGCGAGGCGGGGCGAGGCGAGGCGAGGUGAAAUGACACCGGGAGGUGCGGGGCGGGGCGGGGCGAUGGGAAGCGUGGCGGGGUGAGGUGGGGCAAGGCAGAUCGAGGCGAGGGGAAGCGAGGCGAGGCGGGGCGAGGCAAGGCGGGGUGGGGCAAGGCGCGGCGGGGCGAGGCUAGGCUAGACGGGGUGAGGUGAGGCGAGGUGAGGCAGGGCAAGACGGGGCGAGGUUGGAUGAGGCGGGGCGGGGCGAGGCUAGGCAUGGCGAAGUGAGGCGGGGCGAGGCGGGGCUAGGCGAGGCGUGGCAGGUGAGGCGUCGCGGGGCGGGGUGAGGGCAAGCGAGGCAGGGCGAGGUGAGGCAAGGCGGGGCGGAGCGGGUCGAGGCAAGGCGGGGCAAG
ensembl:lncRNA